GAGUAGACCUCAAGCCUAGAGCACACCGGAGGGCUAGAGGGCUAUUCCUUUCCGGAGCAGUGAGCACGCCCACUGGACACAGGAUUUUCUGUGGCUUUAUUUGCUUGAAGUCAUGGGUCAAUGGUUCUCUUCGAAGAAUGAACAGCACCAAGAUUUGGCCUCCAGUUUUAAAGAAUAUUUUAAGAAAUUUAAGACGGGACACAAAAUCAUUUCUGAGGAAAUCAUCACUUCAGUUGAAUUAAGCAUGACAAAAGGGAACAUUCAAAUGGCAAACUCUGCAAUCAGUGAGGCAUUAAGAGAAAUCGAUGGUACACCGCUCAAUGUUGCUGUCACCGGGGAGUC
rnacentral:lncRNA from 1 species